UGUCGAUGUCCCAAUAUUUCUGGACCUGACUGUAUGUGCUGUUGUGAAUAUAGUGGAAUAUUAUAAAGAAACAAUGGGGACUAUAUUGAUAUUUGACACUUAUGAUGCAAAUUUUACUAAUGUGACUUCUUAGUAACUGAAUUUACCUUCUAAAAUAGUUUGGUUUUUUUUUAAAGUAUGUGCAGGUUAUUAUCCUUCUUCAUAGCUUAAAUGUAUCAAAUUUCACAGUUUCUGUGUGUCAAGGUUUAUGGAGGGUCAUAAGCUCUAAUUUAUAAAUAAGCCCUUUCUCUUGUAGUGCCCAGAUGCUAAACAUAGCGGAGUCAUCUAAAAUUAGCUCACACGUCUCCACAAAUAGCUAAGCCAGCUUUGCCUGAUCUGGCUCCAGAAACAUUCGGCAACCCUUUCCAUGCUGGCUGUGAAUUCCAAGACCUAGAUGUUGCCUAUUGUAACUGUAUGUUUACCAGUUUCUGCUGGCGUGUUCUCAUUUUUGUAGUUGUUUGUAAGUUUCUUCUGCAUACAAUAUGACAUUGCCAUGAUCCUUUUAACUGGAUAAGUUUGAUAACAAGAAGAAUAAACAUAGCAGAAGGUGUAGAUGACUGCUUCCCACGCCUCUUGUCUAUAACUUGAAAAUAGCUCUGGAAUAAUUGAAAAGUUGAGGUGGCCAUGGCGAAAAGAAGGGACUGGCAACAGUCAUAAGAAAGGGUUCAGCUCUGAAAUAUACCGCUCUUGGUAUAUUAUGGGAAGAAACCUUUUAUUCUGCAUUGGUCAGACCUUCUGGGCACCACACUUGAAGAAGGCUUCAGAGAAAAUGGAACAGGUAUUGGCCGAGAGCCUGGAAAGGAACUCCUGAAAGAAGAGAUUGAGAAAAGGGGCACCACAAAGAAGAAAGCUAAGACUUAUUCUCAAUCUUCACGGACUGUAGGGCAAGAAUAAUCAUCGUGAGGCACAGGAAGGCAGAUUCUAGAUAUUCCAGAUGCAAGAAAGGUCAUUUCACAGUUAAAUGGUUCAACAAGGGAAUUCUAAUCUACUUGCAUUCUCUGACUGACAAGCAUUUGUUUUUGUCUUCAGCAUUUAGUCCAG